rnacentral:rRNA from 1 species
UACGAAGGGGGCUAGCGUUGUUCGGAAUUACUGGGCGUAAAGGGCGCGCAGGCGGCCCUCCAAGUCAGGCGUGAAAGCCCCGGGCUCAACCCGGGAAUAGCGCUUGAGACUGGGGGGCUUGAGUUCGGGAGAGGAGAGUGGAAUUCCCAGUGUAGAGGUGAAAUUCGUAGAUAUCGGGAGGAACACCGGUGGCGAAGGCGGCCCGACUGGGCGAGUCACUGACGCUGAGGCGCGAAAGCUCGGGGAGCGAACGGG